rnacentral:misc_RNA from 1 species
GUGCUCAGGCAAUGUGGUC